rnacentral:tRNA from 1 species
UCCUUGGUGGUCCAGUGGUUAGGACUCGGUACUGUCACUGCCAGGGCCUGGGUUCAAUCCCUGGUCAGAGAA